rnacentral:rRNA from 1 species
CCUACGGGUGGCUGCAGUGGGGGAUAUUGCACAAUGGGGUGACCCCUGAUGCAGCGACGCCGCGUGGGUGAAGGAGUGCUUCGGCAUGUAAAGCCCUAUCGGCAGGGAAGAAGCAAGACGGUACCUGACUAAGAAGCCCCGGGGAACUACGGGCCAGCAGCGGCGGCAAUACGUCGGGGGCGAGCGUUAUCCGGAUUCACUGGGUGUAAACGGAGCGUAGACGGCUAAGCAAGUCAGGGGUGAAAGCCCGGGGCCCAACCCCGGGACUGCCGUUGGAACUGCAUGGCUGGAGUGCGGGAGGGGCAGGCGGAAUGCGUGGUGUAGCGGUGAAAUGCGUAGAUAUCACGAAGAACACCGACGGCGAAGGCAGCAUACUGGAGCGCGACUGACGUUGAGGCUCGAAAGCGUGGGGAGCGAACAGGAUUAGAUACCCGUGUAGUC